AACGAACGCUGGCGGCAUGCCUAACACAUGCAAGUCGAACGAGACCUUCGGGCCUAGUGGCGCACGGGUGCGUAACGCGUGGGAACCUGCCCUUAGGUUCGGAAUAACUCCCCGAAAGGGGUGCUAAUACCGGCUAAUGUCUCCGGACCAAAGAUUUAUCGCCUUUGGAUGGGCCCGCGUUGGCUUAGCUAGUUGGUAGGGUAAAAGCCUACCAAGGCGACGAUCCAUAGCUGGUCUGAGAGGAUGAUCAGCCACACUGGGACUGAGACACGGCCCAGACUCCUACGGGAGGCAGCAGUGGGGAAUAUUGGACAAUGGGCGAAAGCCUGAUCCAGCAAGGCCGCGUGAGUGAUGAAGGCCUGAGGGUUGUAAAGCUCGUUUACCCGGGAUGAUAAUGACAGUACCGGGAGAAUAAGCUCCGGCUAACUCCGUG
rnacentral:rRNA from 1 species